UACGGAGGGUGCUAGCGUUGUUCGGAAUCACUGGGCGUAAAGGGCGUGUAGGCGGUCUGCUAAGUCUGAUGUGAAAGCCCGGGGCUCACCCCCGGAAGGGCAUUGGAAACUGGCGGACUCGAGUCCCGGAGAGGAGAGUGGAAUUCCUGGUGUAGCGGUGAAAUGCGUAGAUAUGAGGAGGAACAUCGAUGGCGAAGGCAGCUCUCUGGACGGUGACUGACGCUGAGGCGCGAAAGCGUGGGGAGCAAACAGG
rnacentral:rRNA from 1 species